GCGGGUGUAGUUGAGUGGUACAACGCGUCCUUGCCAAGGAUGAGCCGAGGGUUCGAUUCCCUUCACCCGCUCCA
rnacentral:tRNA from 2 species